GAUGACUUCGAAGAGGCUGAGGGCCGGUACUUCAGGCUCAGCCAGCAGUCACACUGCCCAGAUUUCUUUCUUUUCCUCUGCCGCCUGCUCAGCCCGCUGCUCAAGGCCUUUGCACAGGCUGCCGCCUUCCUCCGCCAGGGCCAGCUGCCCGAUACUGGUGAGGCCCUUGUUCCCUUGCAGUCCUCGAGGCAGGCUGUGUCUGUGCUGGGUGCCAGGUCUAGGUCUUCUCUCUUCUGCAGAGUUGGGCUACACAGAGCAGCUGUUCCAGUUCCUGCAGGCCACCGCCCAGGAAGAAGGGAUCUUCGGUGAGUCCCAACCAGUCAGCCCAGGCUUCUGCAGGCAGUGGUGUUUGCUGGUGGCUGCUGCCCCCUGCAGGACAGUGACAACCCAACUCUAGGAAGGCAGGCUGCAGAGUACAGACAGUCUUCUGUCCAGUCAGAGCUCUAUCCCUCCCUGGGCUUCUUUAAACAAGAGGAGAGAAGCCUGUGCCCAGUGGCUCUCUGUCCUCCCUACCUAGAGCCUUCACUUCUCUCUUCUUUCCAGAGUGUGCGGACCCAAAGCUCGCCAUCAGUGCUGUCUGGACCUUCAGAGACCUAGGGGUUCUGCAGCAGACGCCGAGCCCUGCAGGCCCCAGGCUCCACCUGUCCCCUACUUUUGCCAGCCAGGACAAUCAGGAAAAACUAGAACAGUUCAUCCGGCAGUUCAUUUGUAGCUAGAACUGUGAGGAGGAGCCUGUGCUGAGACUUCUCAGCCCCAGAACACAGCUGUGUCCUAGAGCCAGAAGAUGGAGAGGAGGCUGCAAACCCUUAGCUGCUCUAUAAAUAUAAUCAUUGAGGCUUGAUUGUCCCUUGCCAUCUCUUGCUUUUUCCCUUCUUUGAUGUGAUAAACAAGGGGAC
rnacentral:lncRNA from 1 species